rnacentral:rRNA from 1 species
UCGAGAAUCUUCGGCAAUGGACGAAAGUCUGACCGAGCGAUGCCGCGUGCGGGAUGAAGGCCUUCGGGUUGUAAACCGCUGUCAGUUGGGAGGAAGGCUCCGUGAAGGGCGGGGUUUGACCUAUCUCCAGAGGAAGUCGGGACUAAGUUCGUGCCAGCAGCCGCGGUAACACGAACCGGACGAACGUUAUUCGGAAUUAUUGGGCUUAAAGGGUGCGUAGGCGGCGUGGUAAGUGAGGUGUGAAAGCCCACGGCUCAACCGUGGAAUUGCGCUUCAUACUGCUAUGCUAGAGGGAGACAGAGGUAAGCGGAACUGAUGGUAGAGCGGUGAAAUGCGUUGAUAUCAUCAGGAACACCAGUGGCGAAAGCGGCUUACUGGGUCUCUUCUGACGCUGAGGCACGAAAGCUAGGGUAGCGAACGGGAUUAGAUACCCCUGUAGUCC